rnacentral:rRNA from 1 species
UACGAAGGGUGCAACGUUGCUCGGAAUUAUUGGGCGUAAGCGCACGUAGGCGGCUUAGCAAGUCCCAUGUGAAAGCCCACGGCUUAACCGUGGAAGUGCAUGGGAAACUGCGUGAGCUUGAGUAACUUAAGGAGGAUCGCGGAAUUCCCGGUGUAGAGGUGAAAUUCGUAGAUAGUCGGGAGAACACCAGUGGCGAAGGCGGC